UAGAACUCGUUCUCUGCGUUCGGUCAUUAUUGUGUGGCUUGGCUGGUGAAGGCGGCAAAUCGAAUUGAUUUUCACAUUCCUAUUGUUUUCGGGAGAUUUGUAGCGACAUUAUGUAUAUAAAAAAACUUAGUAAACGUGUUUUCGUAAUAAAUAGUGCAAUGGCAGACGGUCAAGACGAGACCUCCGCUGAUCCUAUGAGUGACUAUUUGCGCUUAUGGGGUCUUGAAAUGUACAUAAAUUUGUUCAAAGCAUAAUAUCCAUGAUGAUAGCAUCCCUGCAUCAUCGCAUCAUCAAAUGCUGUGUGUAUCAAUAACUUGCCAAUCCUUACUGAUAGCACCAUACAUUACCUACUAGUAUAUUGCUGAAUCAGGACUUGAAAACUUACAGAACUUGGACAAAUAUACAGAAUGAGGAAGUACCAAACUUAAAUACAAAUGGAGUAUACAACACUUUGAGUUCAUGUAAUGAAGGAAAAGGACUACUUCUUCACUACAAAGAAAACGGAAUGAAUUCCUGAAAGUUAGCCUCUCCCGGUGUGCACUGAAUUAUAUAAAAUGAAGAAAACAGACUAUGAUUGUUAUGGUAAAUUUUAAACUCAAGUAAUGUGUUUGACAUUAAUUUGGGCUAAGCAAUGUCUUAUUAAUAUUUGGUUAACUAUUCUUUAUUUUUAUUAGCCCUAUUUAUGUUUUAUAAUAUAUUGGUGUUUGAUUACCAGUUAUUAUACAAUGGAGAUACUACAGCGUAUGUAACUUAAAUUUAAUAAUCUGGAUUUUCUUGAGUGAAUGACAAGACAUUAAAUUGUGUUAUUUUAUUUUUUUGAACAUUUUAAAUAAAUAAUUCAAAAAAAUUACUUAUAUAAUAUACAUUUUUUUAUUCAUUAUUGCACUUAGCCCGUUAUCCCUAUGUUAAGGUGGCUGUUAGACCUGUAUAUACAUCCACAAGGCAGGACACCAUUUGAUAAUAUUAUUGGGAUUUACUGGAUUGAUAUGAUUAAUCAUAUCAAUCCAGUACAUCCCAAUAAUAUUGAAGGUGGCCUGUAGAUCCAGGUCCAAUAGCAGAUCUAGGACCAGCUACUGGUA